AAAAACAAGAAAAAAAAAACACAAGAAAAUACUAAUGUGGAAAAUUGGAACCCUUGUGCACAAUUGGAGGGAAUGUAAAAUGGUAUAGCUACUAUGGAAAACAGCAUAACAGUUCUUCCAAAACUUAAAAAUAGAAUUACUAUAUGAUCUAAUAAUUCCAUUUCUGAGUGUAUAUUGAAAAAAAUGGAAAGUAGGAACUUGAGGAGAUAUCUGUACACCAAUGUUCAUGGGAGCAUUAUUCGUAACAGCUAACAUGUGAAAGCAACCCAAGUAUCCAUCGAUGGCUGAUGGAACCAAAUGUGGAAUAUUCAUGGGAUAGAAUAUUAUUAACCUUAGAAAGGAAGGAAAUUCUCACACAUGCUACAACAUGGAUACACCAUGAGGAUAUUAGGCUAAAUGAAGUAAGGCAGACACAAAAGAACAAAUUCUGUAUGAUUCAACUUAUAUGAGGUCCCUAGAGUACUCAAAUUAACCAAGACACAAUGUAGAAUGUGGUUAGGGUGGGGGAAAAUGGGGAAUUAUUGUUUAAUAGGUAUAAGAGUUUUGGUUUUGCAAAAUGAAAAGAGUUCUGUGGAUAGAUGAUGGCGACGAUAGGAAAACAAUGUGAAUGUACUUAAUGCCACUGAACUGUGCACUUAAAAAUGAUUAAGAUGGUACCUCUACACACCACUUAAAAUGGCUACAGUCCAAAAACCUGACAAUUCCAAACACUCGAAAGGAUGUGGAGCAACAACAGCAAUGAACUCUCAUACAUUGCUGGUAAGAAUGCAAAAUGGUAAGAUUACUUCGGAAAACAGUUUGGCAGUAUUUUACAAAGCUAAACAUAGUCUUACAAAAUGAUUCAGCAAUCACACUCCUAGGUAUUUUCUCAACUGAGUUGAAAACUUAUGUCCACACAGAACCUGCACAUGAAUAUUUAUAGCAGCUUAUUCAUAAUUGCCCAAAACUGGAAGCAACUAAGAUGCCCUUUAAUAGAUGAAUGGAUAAACAAACUGUGGUACAUUCAAUGGAAGUGUUCAGUGAUAAAAAAUAAAUGGGGGCCAGGCACGGUGGCUCACGCCUGUAAUCCUAGCACUUUGGGAGGUCAAGGCAGGCAGAUGGCCUGAGCCUAGGAGUUCGAGACCAGCCUGAGCAAUAUGGUGAAACCCCAUCUCUGCAAAAAGAAUACAAAAAUUAGCCAGGUAGGGGGACACAUGCCUGUAGUCCCAGCUACUUGGGAGGCUGAGGAGGGAGGAUCACUGAGCCCGGGAGGUCAAGGCUAGAGUGAGCCAUGAUUAUGCCACUGCACUCCAGACAGGGUGAAAGAGUGAGGCCCUGCCUCAAAAAUAAAAUCCCUAGCACUUUGGGAAGCCGAGGCAGGCAGGUCACCUGAGGUCA
rnacentral:lncRNA from 10 species